GUGGCACGACUCACCAACACCCCUAGAGAUCCACUGGCAAAAUUUUUGCUUCCUGUUCCCAUGACAUUAUAUUUUGCUGGCCUAAAGGUCUUAGUUCCAGAGGGAGAAACACUGCCGCCAGGAGACACAACAACGAUUCCAUUCAAUUAGAAGUUAAGAUUGCCACUUGGACACUUUGGGCUUCUCCUACCUUGAAGUCAACAGGCUAAGAAGAGAGUUACUUGGCUGGGGCGAUUGACCCAGAUUAUCAAGAUGAAAUCAGUCUACUACUCCACAACUGAGGAAGCCAAGCCACACUGCUAACUGAUGAGAGACCAGCUUGAAAGAGGGAGGACCUGCCAAUUGCCAUCAGCACAACUCCAGAUAUAUGGGAGUCAGGCUUUAGGGCAAAAACCGGGGAUCACAGAAUGCUUGCUCAAUCAACUUUGCUCAUCCAAAAUCACAAAAAUCGCCUCAAAAAAUGUUGAUGAUAAUUUAAUUUUCUUCACUCUCCAUGAAGAUGUUAGAUAAUGCUCACUCUGGGUGAGAAUAAAAGCCAGACUCAUCAA